GACGAACGCUGGCGGCGUGCUUAACACAUGCAAGUCGAACGAAGUGGCGAACGGGUGAGUAACGCGUAAUCAAACUGCCCUUAAGAGGGGGACAACAGUUGGAAACGACUGCUAAUACCGCAUACGGAAGGCGGGGAAGGCGUCUGAUUAGCUAGUUGGAGGGGUAACGGCCCACCAAGGCGAUGAUCAGUAGCCGGUCUGAGAUGAUGAACCGCCACAUUGGGACUGAGACACGGCCCAGACGCCUACGGGAGGCAGCAGUGGGUAAUCUUCCGCAAUGGACGAAAGUCUGACGUAGCAACGCCGCGUGAGUGAUGACGGCCUUCGGGUUGUAAAGCUCUGUUAAUCGGGACGCGGUACCGGAAUAGAAAGCCACGGCUAACUACGUGCCAGCAGCCGCGGUAAUAC
rnacentral:rRNA from 1 species